rnacentral:lncRNA from 1 species
UAUGACAUCUGAAAGACUGCUUCACUUUCCUAUUCCCUGGGUUUGUAUAAAUGUAACUGAGUUAAUUAAAUUAUUAUUUAUCAUACUAAGAGAUUUUCAAUUACUUUUGUUACAAAAGUAAAAUUACUACAUAGAAAUAAUUUGCCAUUGGUAAUAUCUAAUUUGGAAUUCAAGAAUAAUAACGUUCUAACUUUUUGGUCAGCAUAGCUCAUGCAAGUGUGUGCUUCAGAGUAGUGGCUCCCAAUAUUUUUUCUGCAGGACGCGUGUGACAGAUGCCAUUCACAAGCCCGCGCCCUCCAACAGACAGAUUCACACUGAGGCUCCGUUCUCCUUCCCAGCUGGAAUCAAUCCUCUUUCUCCACCAGCGGGGGAUGUCAAAAUGCAAAUAAAUCUGAAGGCCCUGACUCUUCACCAACAGCGCCUAUGCUUUGAGUUACUCUGUCCAGAUAAUAUUAAGAGAUGAUUCUAAUAACCUAAUCACCUGAAGCAUAUUUUCACCUGCGUGUAUGUGUGAGGCAAAGUAUUCUGGGAAACAUAACUCAGGUAGGUAUUUUGAAUAUAGACGUUUGAACACAGACAAACCUAGACGUUAAAGCGUAAUUA